UACAGAGGUGGCAAGCGUUGUUCGGAAUUACUGGGCGUAAAGGGCGCGUAGGCGGCCUUCUUAGUCGGACGUGAAAUCCCCAGGCUUAACUUGGGAACUGCGUCCGAUACUGGGAGGCUUGAGUGCGGGAGAGGGAUGUGGAAUUCCAGGUGUAGCGGUGAAAUGCGUAGAUAUCUGGAGGAACACCGGUGGCGAAGGCGGCAUCCUGGACCGACACUGACGCUGAGGCGCGAAAGCUAGGGGAGCGAACAGG
rnacentral:rRNA from 1 species